UAUUUAUUUUGUGUAGCUUUGAAAUUGUAAUCUCCCUCCAGAGCAUACUGACGUCUGAUUCCUCAUCCAAACCUCCUUAUAAGAAGCUGAAAAUUACUGCUCUAGAAUCUUGUUUCUGGAUCUACUUGCCCAAAAUCCCUUCAUCCCCAAAAUGGCUUUACCAGCUGGACGCUGAGUACAAUUCCAAGAGAGAUCAAGAGUAAUGACAAGGAGUGAGAACAGAGGAGACAGACAGUGAAUGUGUCUGUGUAACAGAGACGGCGAAGGAGCUGCAGGAGAGGACUGGAACAACAAGCCAAAGUCAGCUGUUUGUUCCUGCAACUAGUGAUGGGAAAAUCUGGUAUCCGCAUAACAUGACAUUUAUGUCUUCAUAUGCCCCUUUUAUCACCAAUAAACAAAAACA